rnacentral:rRNA from 1 species
AUGUCGUUUUCGUGGUUGAAUCCUCUGAUGAAGAUGGGCUAUGAGAAGCCCCUUGAGGACAAAGAUAUGCCACUAUUAGGUGCCACAGAUCGAGCAAAGAACCAGUACUUGAUGUUCAUGGAGAAGCUCAAUGACAAGAAGCAGUCGCCGUCGCACGCCACACCGUCAUUCUUCUGGACUAUUGUUUCUUGUCACAGGCGUGCCAUCUUGGUCUCGGGUUUCUUUGCUUUGCUCAAGGUUCUCACCUUAUCUACAGGCCCAGUAAUUCUCAAGGCAUUCAUCAAUGUGUCACUUGGGAAAGGGACCUCUAAGUACGAAGGCUAUGUGCUCGCUGCUUUAAUGUUUGUAUGCAAAUGCGCCGAAUCACUGUCACAGAGACAGUGGUAUUUCCGCACUCGGAGAUUAGGAUUGCAGGUGAGGUCACUCCUGUCAGCAGCUAUUUAUAAGAAACAGCAGAAGCUAUCAAAUGCAGCGAAGGUGAUUCACUCUUCUGGAGAAAUUAUGAACUAUGUGACCGUCGAUGCCUACCGGAUUGGGGAAUUCCCAUACUGGUUUCAUCAAACAUGGACAACAAGCGUUCAGCUUUGCAUUGCGCUGGCAAUUCUAUACAAUGCGGUUGGUGCUGCAAUGAUUUCAUCGUUGAUUGUCAUCAUUCUCACCGUACUCUGCAACCUUCCAUUGGCUAGAUUGCAGCACAAAUUUCAGAGUAAACUUAUGGAAGCACAAGAUGUGAGAUUGAAGGCCAUGUCCGAGUCAUUAGUUCAUAUGAAGGACCCAAUUAGGACGAUACCGGAUGUUAUUGCAGUUGUGAUACAGGCUAAGGUUGCUUUCACUCGGGUAUCAAACUUCCUUGAUGCACCUGAGCUAAAUGGGCAAGUUCGGAAGAAAUACUAUGCUGGCCUUGAUUACCCUAUAGCGAUGAAUUCGUGUAGCUUCUCAUGGGAUGAGAAUACAUCAAAACCAACUCUAAAGAAUAUGAAUCUGUUGGUCAAAGCUGGAGAAAAGAUUGCAAUUUGUGGAGAGGUAGGAUCAGGAAAGUCGACGCUUUUGGCUGCUGUACUUGGAGAGGUCCCCAAAACUGAAGGCACGAUCCAGAUAUGCGGGAAAAUAGCAUAUAUUUCUCAGAAUGCAUGGAUCCAAACAGGAACCGUGCAAGACAAUAUUCUCUUUGGAUCGUUGAUGGACAGAGAAAGAUACCACAACACACUCGCGAGGUGCUCGUUGGUCAAGGACCUUGAAAUGUUGCCAUAUGGAGAUCGUACUCAAAUUGGGGAGAGAGGAGUAAAUCUUAGUGGUGGUCAGAAGCAGCGCGUCCAGCUUGCUCGUGCACUAUACCAAAAUGCAGACAUCUAUCUUCUUGAUGACCCUUUCAGUGCUGUUGAUGCCCAUACAGCCACAAGUCUCUUUAAUGAAUAUGUCAUGACUGCUCUAUCAGACAAGACUGUUCUUUUGGUGACCCACCAAGUUGAUUUUCUACCUGCAUUUGACUCCAUUUUGUUAAUGUCAGAUGGAGAGGUUAUUCGGUCUGCACCUUAUCAGGAUCUAUUGGCAGAUUGUGAAGAAUUUAAAGACCUUGUAAAUGCCCAUAAAGAUACGAUGGGUGUCUCGGAUCUUAAUAACAACACACACUCUCAAAGAGCUAAGGAAGUAUCAAUCAAGGAGACAGUUGGUAUUCAUGGAAGCAGAUAUGUCUAUACAGAGUCUGUGAAGCCAUCACCGGAAGAUCAACUGAUCAAGAAAGAGGAAAGAGAAACAGGGGAUGCAGGAGUUAAGCCUUAUAUGCUUUACCUGUGCCAGAAAAAAGGCCUCCUGUAUUUCUCUUUGUCUAUGAUUUCCCACACAUUUUUUGUAGCUGGGCAAAUAUUACAGAAUUGGUGGAUGGCUGCUAAUGUCCAAAAUCCUCAUGUUAGUGCGCUGAAAUUAAUUUCCGUGUACAUUAUUAUCGUAGUUUGCACAAUGUUCUUCUUGCUAUCAAGAUCUUUGCUAGUCGUGGUUCUCGGGAUGCAUGCAUCAAGAUCCUUAUUUUCCCAAUUGCUCAAUUCAUUGUUCCGAGCACCAAUGUCCUUUUUUGAUUCUACUCCUCUAGGAAGGAUUCUUAGCCGGGUCUCUUCAGAUUUGAGUAUCGUUGACCUUGAUAUUCCAUUUGCCUUCGUGCUUAGCCUUGGUACCAGUUUAAAUGCAUAUACAAAUCUAGGGGUAUUGGCUGUUGUUACAUGGCAAGUUCUAUUUGUAGCUGUGCCAAUGAUAGUUUUGGCAAUUAGGUUGCAGAGGUACUAUCUAGCCUCGGCCAAGGAAUUGAUGCGGAUCAAUGGUACAACCAAGUCUGCUCUAGCAAAUCACUUAGGUGAAUCAAUUUCAGGGGCUAUAACAAUAAGGGCCUUUGAGGAAGAAGAUCGUUUCUUUGCAAAAAACUUGGAUCUUGUUGACAAGAAUGCCAGUCCAUAUUUCUAUAAUUUUGCAGCAACUGAAUGGUUAAUUCAACGCCUGGAAAUAAUGAGCGCCGCAGUUCUUUCUUCUUCUGCCUUUGUAAUGGCUCUUCUUCCUCAAGGGACUUUCAGCCCUGGUUUUGUGGGAAUGGCAUUGUCAUAUGGUCUUUCUUUAAAUACGUCAUUUGUUUCCUCUAUUCAAACCCAAUGCAACAUUGCGAAUCAAAUAAUCUCGGUGGAACGGGUGAGCCAGUACAUGGACAUACCAAGUGAAGCAGCAGAAGUUGUUGAAGAAAAUCGUCCGUUACCAGAUUGGCCCCAAAAUGGCAAUGUGGAGCUUAGGGAUUUGAAAAUCAGGUAUAGGAAAGAUGCCCCCCUUGUACUACAUGGAAUUACUUGCAAGUUUGAAGGUGGAGAUAAGAUUGGUAUAGUUGGUCGAACAGGGAGUGGCAAGACAACGUUGAUUGGCGCAUUGUUUCGCCUUGUUGAACCUGCUGAAGGAAAAAUAAUUAUAGAUUCUGUGGAUAUCAGUACGAUAGGCUUACAUGACCUGCGUUCUCGUUUGGGUAUCAUUCCACAAGACCCAACACUUUUCCAGGGUACAAUAAGAUACAAUCUUGAUCCUCUUGGGCAAUUCUCUGAUCAACAAAUAUGGGAGGUUCUUGAUAAAUGUCAACUUCUUGAAGCUGUCCAGGAUAAGGAACAAGGAUUGGAUUCACAUGUUGUGGAAGACGGGUCAAACUGGAGCAUGGGCCAAAGGCAGCUCUUCUGUUUGGGACGUGCGCUUCUGAGAAGGUGCCGUAUCUUAGUUCUUGAUGAAGCCACAGCCUCUAUAGACAAUGCAACAGACGCUCUCCUUCAGAAAACUAUCCGGACAGAAUUCAAACAUUGCACCGUUAUUACAGUGGCCCACCGUAUACCAACAGUCAUGGACUGUGAUAUGGUACUUGCAAUGAGCGACGGGAAAGUAGUGGAGUUUGACAAACCUACAAAGCUUAUGGAAACUGAAGGAUCUCUGUUUCGCAAGCUGGUCGAGGAGUACCGGUCACACACAUCGAACACAGAUAUUUAA